rnacentral:rRNA from 1 species
UACGAAGGGGACUAGCGUUGUUCGGAAUCACUGGGCGUAAAGCGCACGUAGGCGGAUGUGUCAGUCAGGGGUGAAAUCCCGGGGCUCAACCUCGGAACUGCCUUUGAUACAGCACGUCUCGAGUCCGGAAGAGGUGGGUGGAAUUCCUAGUGUAGAGGUGAAAUUCGUAGAUAUUAGGAAGAACACCGGUGGCGAAGGCGGCCCACUGGUCCGGUACUGACGCUGAGGUGCGAAAGCGUGGGGAGCAAACAGGAUUGAGAU